AUUGAACGCUGGCGGCAUGCCUUACACAUGCAAGUCGAACGGUAACAGGUCUUCGGAUGCUGACGAGUGGCGAACGGGUGAGUAAUACAUCGGAACGUGCCUAGUAGUGGGGGAUAACUACUUGAAAGAGUGGCUAAAACCGCAUGAGAUCUACGGAUGAAAGCAGGGGAUCGCAAGACCUUGUGCUACUAGAGCGGCCGAUGGCAGAAUAGGUAGUUGGUGGGAUAAAAGCUUACCAAGCCGACGAUCUGUAGCUGGUCUGAGAGGACGAUCAGCCACACUGGGACUGAGACACGGCCCAGACUCCUACGGGAGGCAGCAGUGGGGAAUUUUGGACAAUGGGCGCAAGCCUGAUCCAGCAAUGCCGCGUGCAGGAUGAAGGCCUUCGGGUUGUAAACUGCUUUUGUACGGAACGAAAAGCCCCGGGUUAAUACCCUGGGGUCAUGACGGUACCGUAAGAAUAAGCACCGGCUAACUACGUGCCAGCAGCCGCAGUAA
rnacentral:rRNA from 1 species